rnacentral:tRNA from 1 species
GUUGGCUUGGCAGAUCAAAUGCACUUGAUUUAGGAUCAAAAGAUAAUACUUAGUAUUAGCCAAUG